rnacentral:rRNA from 1 species
CAGUCGAACGGCAGCACAGAGGAGCUUGCUCCUUGGGUGGCGAGUGGCGGACGGGUGAGGAAUACAUCGGAAUCUGCCCAGUCGUGGGGGAUAACAUAGGGAAACUUAUGCUAAUACCGCAUACGACCUACGGGUGAAAGCGGGGGAUCGCAAGACCUCGCGCGAUUGGAUGAGCCGAUGUCCGAUUAGCUAGUUGGCGGGGUAAUGGCCCACCAAGGCGACGAUCGGUAGCUGGUCUGAGAGGAUGAUCAGCCACACUGGAACUGAGACACGGUCCAGACUCCUACGGGAGGCAGCAGUGGGGAAUAUUGGACAAUGGGCGCAAGCCUGAUCCAGCCAUGCCGCGUGGGUGAAGAAGGCCUUCGGGUUGUAAAGCCCUUUUGUCCGGAAAGAAAAGCUCGAGGUUAAUACCUUCGGGUUCUGACGGUACCGGAAGAAUAAGCACCGGCUAACUUCGUGCCAGCAGCCGCGGUAAUACGAAGGGUGCAAGCGUUACUCGGAAUUACUGGGCGUAAAGCGUGCGUAGGUGGUUCGUUAAGUCUGAUGUGAAAGCCCUGGGCUCAACCUGGGAAUUGCAUUGGAUACUGGCGGGCUAGAGUGCGGUAGAGGAUGGCGGAAUUCCCGGUGUAGCAGUGAAAUGCGUAGAGAUCGGGAGGAACAUCUGUGGCGAAGGCGGCCAUCUGGACCAGCACUGACACUGAGGCACGAAAGCGUGGGGAGCAAACAGGAUUAGAUACCCUGGUAGUCCACGCCCUAAACGAUGCGAACUGGAUGUUGGGUGCAACUAGGCACUCAGUAUCGAAGCUAACGCGUUAAGUUCGCCGCCUGGGGAGUACGGUCGCAAGACUGA